GGGAGAAGCAGCCAUUCUUGUGACAUCUGCGUAUCGGCUCCGUGGCAUUGCCAGCCCUUCAGCUACUCAAGCACUCUCCGCUGUCAGGCACGUUAACAAAACAGCAGGAAUUGGACUACAUAAUAAGAAUUUAAUGUCAGCUUCUGGAAGGUUGAUUAGGAUAGACUGAGUACAAGAUGUCAGUUACAGUAACCAUCACAGUACUCUAAAAAAGGACAGGUCUUUCUAACCUGUUGCAGCAGAAGACAUCAGAAAAACUCUUAAGACUGUGCAUUUAUCAGACUUCAGCUUCUAAUUUCUCUGAGUACAAUGCCAAGAUCCAUUCCUCAUAUGUCUCUUUUCUGUGGAUUUCCUAAGGAGUUAGCAGUUUAGUGGGAAAGUUCUGAAUUGGGAAACAUGUCCGCAAAUGAAUCACCUCCUCUAAUGCAAUGCUACAGUGCUAAAAUGUUUUUGGUAAGUAGAAACUUAAUACACUGGCACAGAGAAUUAGUAAGAGUAACAAAGAGUAACAAACAAUGUAAGGUAAUAAAUAAUAUCUAAAAAACAGUAGAAAGUGGCCCUUUAAUGUCAGAAAAGGACCUGAGCUAUGCAUUUUUAUAUUAUAUUUUAGUUUAAAACUCAGUCCGCAUGAUUCCUUUGAUUUUGUACUUGCUUUCAACUGCAAUCUUUCUAUAACAUGCUUACAGGUUUAGACAACUUUCUGCCACUUUCUGCACACUUUGGUUUGGCAAGGCUUUAAAAAUAUGUAAAGACUUCUAAAUGUAGCAUGUAUUAAUCUCAGGUGCACCACUACUAACAUUAGGGUUCAUGCCCUGGGUGUCCUGCUUUUGACACUACUGAUGUGAGCCCUGUGACCAUCUCCAGAGCUCACUGAGUGAACACUGGUAUUUUGGGAGCUUAAUGAUGGACCUGGAGACUCCUCUUCUUUGUGGAUCAGGAAGAAAGUGAUUGCUGGGAAGAAACAGACCUUCCCGGCAUGUGGUCAGACUGGAUGGUCACAUUGGUCACUUCUGGCUUUAUAAUACAUUAGUCUAGUGGUCA